rnacentral:piRNA from 1 species
UGCUGUGCAUGCCUGAGGCUUCCGGUGA